GACGAACGCUGGCGGCGUGCUUAACACAUGCAAGUCGAACGAAGAGCGAUGGAAGCUUGCUUCUAUCAAUCUUAGUGGCGAACGGGUGAGUAACGCGUAAUCAACCUGCCCUUCAGAGGGGGACAACAGUUGGAAACGACUGCUAAUACCGCAUACGAUCUAAUCUCGGCAUCGAGGAUAGAUGAAAGGUGGCCUCUACAUGUAAGCUAUCACUGAAGGAGGGGAUUGCGUCUGAUUAGCUAGUUGGAGGGGUAACGGCCCACCAAGGCGAUGAUCAGUAGCCGGUCUGAGAGGAUGAACGGCCACAUUGGGACUGAGACACGGCCCAGACUCCUACGGGAGGCAGCAGUGGGGAAUCUUCCGCAAUGGACGAAAGUCUGACGGAGCAACGCCGCGUGAGUGAUGACGGCCUUCGGGUUGUAAAGCUCUGUUGAUCGGGACGAAAGGCCUUCUUGCGAACAGUUAGAAGGAUUGACGGUACCGGAAUAGAAAGCCACGGCUAACUACGUG
rnacentral:rRNA from 1 species